UUGUUGACACGUGACCCAAUUACCGGCCUACCAAGUGCCUUUGGUGACCGCUAACAGCAACUGUGGAACAGUGCAGCGCCCUUUUUUGGAGCAACGUACGAGUAGUGCCCAUGGAUUAUGACCCCGCGACCCCAAUCUACGUGGCGGUCCGCAAUUCGCUACUUCAUACUGACUGGCGUCCGGCAUCGUCCCGAAUUUGGCCACAAUCUGCUCUCGGGACCCCUAUAGGGCUCCCUGACCUGCUCCAUCUCCGCCAUGCAUCGUCAAUGUACUGCGCAUCCACCCAGGCCAGGACUGCACUUACUUACGGGAAGGAGUAUUUGCAAGAUGGAACCUGGGAACUGGAAGACGACGAAGAGGAAGCGUGGGAAUCCGGCGGCAAUGGCUGGGAUGUAAGUCCAACAUUGCUGGUGCCAGAGUUGCCACUGCUUGCUUAUAAGGGAAUCAUGUGUGUUGCCUUUUUGCCUUUUCCGACGUCCUCCUCCGACUGUACUCCCGAUCCCAGGACUGAACUUACGGGAAGGAGUGCUUCCAAGAUGGGAGACGAAGAAGAAGAAGAAGCCGCUGAAUCCGGCGGCAAUGGCUGGGAUUGUCGGACUGUCCGCGUCGCAUUGAACUGGUCCGAUGAGGCUGCUAUUGCACACACAGUGAGGGAACUCCCAUACGGGAACUCGGAAGUACUGCUACAGUACAGGUAUAUCACCCCGUGACGACCACAUCGAAGUCUGAAAUUGAAGUGUGAAGAUGCUUCAGCAACCCCUUCAUAUUUUUCCAUUGCUUUUAUUGUGCUUCUACUGUGCAUGUGUGUAACCUGUGGGGUAUGCAUGUGAUGACAAUGUAUGCCGGUGACACGGUCAGAUUUUGUCCAUGCGUGUAACGUACACCUGCAUGCUAUCGUUGAAAAG